GUCCCCAUAGUUCAAUUGGAUAGAACGUGGGCGUCCUAAGCCUGUAAUCCUGGUUCAAAUCCGGGUGGGGACACCA
rnacentral:tRNA from 1 species